AUUCAGAUGAAUUUUAAUAUAAAUCUUGUUGCCUUGUAGCUCCUUGCUCAAUGACGUUUUCAUUGGUGGGCAGAGAGACAAGAUAGCAGAGUAGAAGGACCUUUGGCUCAUCUCCUCUCACAAGCACACCAAAAUCACAACUAACUGCUAAACAACCAUCGAUUAAAAAGACUGGAACCGACCAAAAAAAGGUAUUCUACACCCAAAGACAUAAAGAAGAAACCACAGUGAAACGGAGCUUUAUGAAAUGACCUACUGGGCACAAUUUACUCGGAAGGGUUCCUCUGUGAAACAGUUGAAGACUACACGCUCUCAGAUGUUCACGAUCUCCAGCUACCAGCUCUGACAGGGGUGAGGCAGUUGCAUUCAGGCUUCCUGUUCUCCACCCAUUGCAUAACCUCCACCCCAGCCACGCAGUGAUCAAGGGAUGAUGGCUCAGGAGACUCUGGUAUUGCUGACUACUCUCUGAAGGGUAAUAUGGUCCAGAGGAUUUCUGCAGAAAGGAGUCCUUGACGCCUUGUGUUACAUUAACGUCAUAUGAUCCCUGAGUUCUCAAGGAAACACAGGGGCCAGAGAAACAUAUUAAGUGAUACCAGGGAGAUGGAUGCAACCAACCAAAUCCAGAAUGUGGGAGAAAAUGACAAGAAAGACCAGCUAGCAACUGUGCACAACAAGACACCUCUGAAGAUUCCAGAACCCAGGAGUGGGGUUGAAGCAUACCCUUGGAUCACAGAAACCAGGAAACACUGCAUUAGAAGGCAGGCAAAACUGAGGACUUAAGCCCCGGACACAGCAU